rnacentral:tRNA from 1 species
GGGGCUGUGGCUCAGCAGUAGAGCACUCGCCUGACAUGUGUGGGGCACUGGGUUUGAUUCUCAGCACCA